UUCUCCUUCGUUUCUCCACCAAAUCGAUCGAGUAAGGCACCAGGAGCCCGACAUAAUUGAAAAAAGGACCUUCGAGGGGUCGAAGUAGCUCGGACCAUCUGCUGUAGACGUACGCGGGAUCCACCACCGGGCCACUCAUAACCUCCGCGCUUCAAGUCAGGUAGAGUUUAUAGAAAAUCCCUGAAACCU